rnacentral:tRNA from 1 species
GGGUAUGUGGCCUAGUGGCGAGGGCAACGGCCUUUUAAGCCGAUAGCGAAAAGCUCAACGUGGGUUCGAGUCCCACCAUACCCA